UACGUAGGGGGCAAGCGUUGUCCGGAUUUAUUGGGCGUAAAGAGCGUGUAGGCGGCCAUACAGGUCAGCUGUGAAAACUCGAGGCUCAACCUCGAGACGUCGGUUGAAACCGUAUGGCUAGAGUCCGGAAGAGGAGAGUGGAAUUCCCGGUGUAGCGGUGAAAUGCGCAGAUAUCAGGAGGAACACCUGUGGCGAAAGCGGCUCACUGGACCAUAACUGACGCUGAUGCACGAAAGCUAGGGGAGCAAACAGG
rnacentral:rRNA from 1 species